rnacentral:rRNA from 1 species
UACGGGGGGGGCAAGCGUUGUUCGGAAUUACUGGGCGUAAAGGGCUCGUAGGCGGCCAACUAAGUCCGACGUGAAAUCCCAAGGCUUAACCUUGGAACUGCGUCGGAUACUGGAUGGCUUGAAUUUGGGAGAGGGAUGCAGAAUUCCAGGUGUAGCGGUGAAAUGCGUAGAUAUCUGGAGGAAUACCGGUGGCGAAGGCGGCAUCCUGGACCGACAUUGACGCUGAUGAGCGAAAGCUAGGGGAGCAAACGGG